GAUGAACGCUGGCGGCGUGCCUAAUACAUGCAAGUCGAGCGAACGGACGAGAAGCUUGCUUUUCUGAUGUUAGCGGCGGACGGGUGAGUAACACGUGGAUAACCUACCUAUAAGACUGGGAUAACUUCGGGAAACCGGAGCUAAUACCGGAUAAUAUUUUGAACCGCAUGGUUCCAAAGUGAAAGACGGUCUUGCUGUCACUUAUAGAUGGAUCCGCGCUGCAUUAGCUAGUCGGUAAGGUAACGGCUUACCAAGGCAACGAUGCAUAGCCGACCUGAGAGGGGGAUCGGCCACACUGGAACUGAGACACGGUCCAGACUCCUACGGGAGGCAGCAGUAGGGAAUCUUCCGCAAUGGGCGAAAGCCUGACGGAGCAACGCCGCGUGAGUGAUGAAGGUCUUCGGAUCGUAAAACUCUGUUAUUAGGGAAGAACAUAUGUGUAAGUAACUGUGCACAUCUUGACGGUACCUAAUCAGAAAGCCACGGCUAACUACGUG
rnacentral:rRNA from 1 species